rnacentral:rRNA from 1 species
AGCGAACGCUGGCGGCAGGCCUAACACAUGCAAGUCGAACGAACCUUUCGGGGUUAGUGGCGGACGGGUGAGUAACACGUGGGAACGUGCCUUUAGGUUCGGAAUAACUCAGGGAAACUUGUGCUAAUACCGAAUGUGCCCUUCGGGGGAAAGAUUUAUCGCCUUUCGAGCGGCCCGCGUCUGAUUAGCUAGUUGGUUGGGGUAAUGGCUCACCAAGGCGACGAUCAGUAGCUGGUCUGAGAGGAUGAUCAGCCACAUUGGGACUGAGACACGGCCCAAACUCCUACGGGAGGCAGCAGUGGGGAAUCUUGCGCAAUGGGCGAAAGCCUGACGCAGCCAUGCCGCGUGAAUGAUGAAGGUCUUAGGAUUGUAAAAUUCUUUCACCGGGGACGAUAAUGACGGUACCCGGAGAAGAAGCCCCGGCUAACUUCGUG